rnacentral:rRNA from 1 species
CCAAUAGCGUAUAUUAAAGUUGUUGCAGUUAAAAAGCUCGUAGUUGAAUUUCGGGAUUCGUCCAUUGGUCAGGCUUAACUGUCUGUACUGGUGUGUCGGAUUUCUACCUUCUGAAGAACCUUUAUGCCAUUAAUUUGGUGUGUUGGGGAAUCAGGACUGUUACUUUGAAAAAAUUAGAGUGUUUAAAGCAGGCUAACGUCUGAAUACAUUAGCAUGGAAUAAUGAAAUAGGACGGUACGGUUCUAUUUUGUUGGUUUCUAGGAUCGCUGUAAUGAUUAAUAGGGAUAGUUGGGGGCAUUAGUAUUCAAUUGUCAGAGGUGAAAUUCUUGGAUUUAUUGAAGACUAACUACUGCGAAAGCAUUUGCCAAGGAUGUUUUCAUUAAUCAAGAACGAAAGUUAGGGGAUCGAAGACGAUCAGAUACCGUCGUAGUCUUAACCAUAAACUAUGCCGACUAGGGAUUGGACGAUGUUAAUUUUUUAAUGACUCGUUCAGCACCUUACG